GGAGAGUUGCCAGAGUGGUCGAAUGGGGCAGACUCGAAAUCUGCUGUCCGGCUUGCCGGACCGGGGGUUCGAAUCCCUCACUCUCCG
rnacentral:tRNA from 1 species